UAAAGAUUCAUCGCUGAUAGAUAGGCAUGCGUUCCAUUAGGCAGUUGGCGGGGUAACGGCCCACCAAACCGACGAUGGAUAGGGGUUCUGAGAGGAAGGUCCCCCACAUUGGUACUGAGACACGGACCAAACUCCUACGGGAGGCAGCAGUGAGGAAUAUUGGUCAAUGGGCGUAAGCCUGAACCAGCCAAGUCGCGUGAGGGAUGAAGGUUCUAUGGAUCGUAAACCUCUUUUAUAAGGGAAUAAAGUGUGGGACGUGUCCUAUUUUGUAUGUACCUUAUGAAUAAGGAUCGGCUAACUCCGUGCCAGCAGCCGCGGUAAUACGGAGGAUCCGAGCGUUAUCCGGAUUUAUUGGGUUUAAAGGGUGCGUAGGCGGCCUUUUAAGUCAGCGGUGAAAGUCUGUGGCUCAACCAUAGAAUUGCCGUUGAAACUGGGGGGCUUGAGUAUGUUUGAGGCAGGCGGAAUGCGUGGUGUAGCGGUGAAAUGCUUAGAUAUCACGCAGAACCCCGAUUGCGAAGGCAGCCUGCCAAGCCAUGACUGACGCUGAUGCACGAAAGCGUGGGGAUCAAACAGGAUUAGAUACCCUGGUAGUCCACGC
rnacentral:rRNA from 1 species